rnacentral:lncRNA from 1 species
UGCAAUAAGAUAUAGACGGUGAUUGGAGUCGUUUCUCUUUUUGCUUCCAGAGGGAGCUCAAACCUGAAGCAUCAAGGUUAUCUUUUUCCAAAGGAUUUGUGUGAACCUAAGUUCGGUACCUGCGACGAGUAAAAACACUUAUUUGACCCUCUAGAGACUCAGCUAGAACUGACUGAGCAAAGGGAAAUCGGGCAAAAGAAAGGGAAGGUACUGAGGAGAAAACGUUAAGCCCAACAGGUCCAGGAUUUGUGCACAGUGAGUGGAAAAAAUGUGUUAAACGUCGGUUUGACGCCCCACCGGAGCUUCC